rnacentral:rRNA from 1 species
AUUGAACGCUGGCGGAAUGCUUUACACAUGCAAGUCGAACGGCAGCACGGACUUCGGUCUGGUGGCGAGUGGCGAACGGGUGAGUAAUGUAUCGGAACGUGCCCAGUCGUGGGGGAUAACGUAGUGAAAAUUACGCUAACACCGCAUACGAUCUAUGGAUGAAAGCGGGGGACCGCAAGACCUCGCGCGAUUGGAGCGGCCGACAUCAGAUUAGGUAGUUGGUGGGGUAAAGGCCCACCAAGCCAACGAACUGUAGCUGGUCUGAGAGGACGGCCAGCCACACUGGAACUGAGACACGGUCCAGACGCCUACGGGAGGCAGCAGUGGGGAAUUUUGGACAAUGGGCGAAAGCCUGAUCCAGCCAUUCCGCGUGCAGGAUGAAGGCCCUCGGGUUGUAAACUGCUUUUGUACAGAACGAAAAGGUUUCUACUAAUACUAGGAGCUCAUGACGGUACUGUAAGAAUAAGCGCCGGCUAACUACGUGCCAGCCGCCGCGGUAA